AAUGGCCGCGGUAACUUGACCGUGCAAAGGUAGCAUAAUUAUUUGUCUUUUAAUUGAAGGCUUGUAUGAAUGAUUGGAUGAAAAAUAAACUUUAUUAAUUUAAAUUAUUUAACUUAAUAUUUAAGUCAAAAUGCUUAAAUAAGUAAGUGGGACGAGAAGACCCUAUAGAGUUUUAUUAUUUUAUUAAUUAUGAAAUUUAAGAAUUAAUAUUUUUAUAAUAUUUAAAAUAAUUUUAUUGGGGUGAUAUUAAAAAUUAAUUAACUUUUAAUUAAUAAAUCAUUAAUUCAUGAUUAACUGAUCCAAAAUUUUUUUUGAUCAUAAAUCAAAAUUACCUUAGGGAUAACAGCGUUAUUAAUUUAGAGAGCCCUAAUCGAUAAAUUAGUUUGCGACCUCGAUGUUGGAUUAAGAAAAGUUUUUAAAGCAGUAUUUAAAAUUUUAGGUCUGUUCGACCUUUAAAUUCUUACG
rnacentral:rRNA from 1 species